rnacentral:piRNA from 1 species
UAAAUAAAUAUCAUAGUAACG